GAUACCACUAUCGCCAUCUAUGAGUGAGAAGUCGGCAACUUUUUCAUCGAUCAUCAGUUGUACGCGCCCCACCACUGGUAGAUCUCUCUAGAAAAACUGUCUAGUCCACGCGCGCUUGAGAUAGCACAAAUUUAAUAUAAUUAUUCUGUUUUACUGUAAAUCUUUCCAAUAAACGUAUUUUAAUCGUCUAAUAAAAGGAAAUUAUUGAAGAGCACCCCGAAUACUGCACAAAAUUGAUCCUGCGGCCGGAUGACGAAGAGGAUUCUUCAAUCGUGAGAAGACCACGUCGAUGCGAAUACUAUACGUCGUGGACCUCCUAGUCAACGCUAUACGUCUACGUGUGAACCAGAUCAGCAGUUAAACGGUUAGGUUUCCUUCUGAAUAUCCUUCCCUCCCCAAUCGAAUUGUGUUAAAACUGUGUUAUUUGUGCUAAUUUCAGAAUCGGUUAGUGACGUGUCGGGUGAUUGCCGUUCCAGUCCCGCUUAAAUCACCCUUAUGACUUCAACCCGCUAACGCCUGGUCAUUUCCUUAUUGGCCGGCCGUUGACUGCUCCUGCUAGCACCGACGACGUAGCAGCUGCGACAUCUACGACUCCGGCGCUCAACCGAUAUCGACGCAUCGAGCAAAUUCGUUUACAUUUCUGGCAACGAUGGUCGAAAGAGUACAUAGCUGAGCUCCAGACGCGGACUAAAUGGAAGACGAAUAAAAACGAUAUUGCCAUGGACAGCAUGGUCCUUAUAAAGGAUGAUAACCAGCCGCCUCUGAAGUGGAAAUUGGGACGGAUCGUGAAGACUUAUCCUGGUGCGGACGGAGUUUCUCGUGUUGCUGACAUACGGACGGCUACAGGAAUAAUAAGAAGAUCGUUCUCCAAGAUCUGCCCGUUGCCGCUGCAGCCCGAGAGUUGAAUAAAUCCAGAAGACGUCAUACUUUGGAAGUCGGAGUCUUCCAAGGCCGGGGGCAUGUUUAUGAUACCACUAUCGCCAUCUAUGAGUGAGAAGUCGGCAACUUUUUCAUCGAUCAUCAGUUGUACGCGCCCCACCACUGGUAGAUCUCUCUAGAAAAACUGUCUAGUCCACGCGCGCUUGAGAUAGCACAAAUUUAAUAUAAUUAUUCUGUUUUACUGUAAAUCUUUCCAAUAAACGUAUUUUAAUCGUCUAAUAAAA